rnacentral:rRNA from 1 species
UACGUAGGGUGCGAGCGUUAAUCGGAAUUACUGGGCGUAAAGCGUGCGCAGGCGGUGAUGUAAGACCGAUGUGAAAUCCCCGGGCUUAACCUGGGAACUGCAUUGGUGACUGCAUCGCUCGAGUAUGGCAGAGGGGGGUAGAAUUCCACGUGUAGCAGUGAAAUGCGUAGAGAUGUGGAGGAAUACCGAUGGCGAAGGCAGCCCCCUGGGUCAAUACUGACGCUCAUGCACGAAAGCGGGGGGAGCAAACAGG